rnacentral:rRNA from 1 species
ACACGACUACAUUAGAUACCCGGGUAGUCCAGGGUGUAAACGCUGCGGGCUUGGUGUUGGGGGGUCCUUUGAGGGCGCCCAGUGCCGGAGAGAAGUUGUUAAGCCUGCUGCUUGGGAGUACGUCCGCAAGGAUGAAACUUAGAGGAAUUGGCCGGGGGAGCACCGCAACGGGAGGAGCGUGCGGUUCAAUUGGAUUCAACGCCGGACAACUCACCAGGAGCGACGGUUACAUGAAGGCCAGGCUGAUGACCUUGCCUGAUUUUCCG